rnacentral:tRNA from 1 species
GCGGGCGUGAUGGAAUUGGUAGACAUGUAAGAUUUAGGUUCUUAUGCAGAGAUGCGUUGGGGUUCGACUCCCCACGCCCGCACCA